CAAAAAUUAGCUAAAAAAGACCCGAUGAUCUAGAACCUACAUAAGCCCGGCUCAACCAACAAACAAUCCAUGGUCAGAAUAAGAUCUCCCAACUUACAUAGAGCCCAGCCCAAUAAAACCAAAUCCUAGUAAGGGCAAAAUAGGAACAGAGCAGAAUAGAGCCAUCGCCACUACUAGCUCCUCGCCUUAGUCAAAGAUGUGCUUGUGGAAGAGAACAGCUGGGGAAGAAAAUGGCAAAAGCCAAACCAAGCUAGGAAUCAAAUCACAACUCAUCACCAAACCAUGGGGUGCUAGGAAGCCAUCAAUAUGGGGGUUGCGCCACAGAGCUCCAAGUCCUUUCAGCCUUUACGAGUCAGUCACAACUAUAGGUGGGCAGGGACUCCGGAGUUACUACACGCCGAAACUUAGACCUCCAAAGGACCUAGCAGCUAGAAGACAACUCAUUAAAACACCAAAACCACAACACAAUGUCGAUACAAACCCAAUAUAGAACACUUCAGGUAUUAUCAAAUCCCUCGCCGAUGAGCCAUUUUCCCUGCAAGCAGAAGAAUAAAACUAAAAAAAUAUAUAUACAAUCAAGCGCGGAUGUGAGGAGAGAGAAAACCACUCUCUGGGUGAGUUAACGGAGGCCGUCCCCUACCCGGAUGGGGCAGAGGACAGUCGACUGCUUCAGCAGAAAAGGAGGACUGAGCCUCAGGAAACCCAAAACAAAAAGAGGAAAAAGUCUCGUUCCUUUGUGUAUAGAAUUGGAGAGCUAU
rnacentral:misc_RNA from 1 species